AUCCAACGCGCCAGUAAACUUCCGAAUCGCAUCUUCCUCUGUCACAAUCUCUCACAGCAUAAGGGCGAGUGGUGAGUCGACAUGACGUCACGGUUUUUUCUUUGUACGUCAUCGGAUCGACGUAUGAGCAUUUAACUGGUCGUCGUUGUAUUCCAGGACCACACGAUUUGGUACACUACAAAACAGAUACCAUAUUGAACUAUGCAUGAAAUGAAAUAGUUAAUUAGGUACCAUGAUAAUUAGAAACCGUUCCAUUAAAACGGUAAUUUUUAGACAUUGUUAUUUUAAACAAACAAAUUAAGUUUUGAGCGUUUCAAUAUAAACUUUAAACAUUAGGUUGUGAAAAGCACAAUUAAAACAAUGUUAGAUCACCUCUGACCACGCCCCAGCCCUCCAGAAUGCAUUACAUGGUCCAUUGUUACAUUGUUGAGAUGCUAGUGGUCUCUCAGUUACCAACUCCGUGUUACAAAGACUGGGAUCGACCACUAUGUUGUGGGGUAAACUUCGACACGUGACCACCCGCGUCAUCGUCCCUUCCCCGCACGACACGCUACACUGCACAAGGGAAAGAUCCUCGUAAUUACAUCGGGGUGAAAAGGUCUCCAUCGUUCAGCGUGCCACUUGUGGCUAGGACAAUCCGUCACAUUACAUCUAGUGACGUCAUCAGGUCGACUAUUUACGUCACAGAGUUCAUCUACUAUGACCUUUCGCUUGUAUCGACAGUUUACUCGACGAAGCUGAAUUCCAACCCCACAAGAUGCAGAACACUACAAGCCGCAAAACAUUUUCGAAAUUAAUAAAAAAUACAUUUAUUAUCUUACACUAUUUAUCCCUAUAGUAUAUUUUCUUUGUGAUAAUUGAUAUCAGGAUUUAGGUAAUGGCACAAAACUUGGUGCGAGUGACGAACCUGGUUCCAUCUGCCAGUUCUCCAUCUUGGACACCUUCGUUGUUUCACGCAUCUCCUCACAACACGAGGUUUUGUUCUAUGUAGCAAACAUUUCGCAUCGGCAACUGUUUCACCGUUCGCGUUUAAACAAUUCACAUUCCGAUUCUUUGUUCCUCGACCACACGAUGCAGAACACUGUGAUUUAAAUAAAAUGUUAAUCUCCGCCAUA